AGCGAACGCUGGCGGCAGGCCUAACACAUGCAAGUCGAACGAACCCUUCGGGGUUAGUGGCGGACGGGUGAGUAACACGUGGGAACGUACCUUUAGGUUCGGAACAACACAGGGGAAACUUGUGCUAAUGCCGAAUGUGCCCUUCGGGGGAAAGAUUUAUCGCCUUUAGAGCGGCCCGCGUCUGAUUAGCUUGUUGGUGAGGUAAAGGCUCACCAAGGCUACGAUCAGUAGCUGGUCUGAGAGGAUGAUCAGCCACACUGGGACUGAGACACGGCCCAGACUCCUACGGGAGGCAGCAGGUGGGGAAUCUUGCGCAAUGGGCGAAAGCCUGACGCAGCCAUGCCGCGUGAAUGAUGAAGGUCUUAGGAUUGUAAAAUUCUUUCACCGGGGAAGAUAAUGACGGUACCCGGAGAAGAAGCCCCGGCUAACUUCGUGCCAGCAGCCGCGGUAAU
rnacentral:rRNA from 1 species